GCCGGGUGUGUUCGUGUGUGCUUGUAGUCCCAGCUACUCGGGACGCUGAGGUGGGAGGAUCGCUUGAGUCCAAGAGUUCUGGGCUGUAGUGCGCUAUGCCGAUCAGAUGUCAGCACUUAAGUUCAGCAUCAAUAUGGUGACUCCCCCAGGAGCAGGGACCACCAGGUUGCCUAAAGAGGUGAACCGGCCCAGGUUGGAAAUAAAGCACGUCAAAACUCUCAUGCUGACCAGUAGUGGGAUUGCGCCUAUGAAUAGCCACUGCACUCCAGCCUGGGCAACAUAGUGAGUCCCUGUCUCUU
ensembl:misc_RNA Metazoa_SRP Metazoan signal recognition particle RNA